rnacentral:rRNA from 1 species
GACGAACGCUGGCGGCGUGCUUAACACAUGCAAGUCGAACGGAAAGGCCCUUCGGGGUACUCGAGUGGCGAACGGGUGAGUAACACGUGGGUGAUCUGCCCUGCACUUUGGGAUAAGCCUGGGAAACUGGGUCUAGUACCGAAUAGGACCACGCGCUUCAUGGUGUGUGGUGGAAAGCUUUUGCGGUGUGGGAUGGGCCCGCGGCCUAUCAGCUUGUUGGUGGGGUAAUGGCCUACCAAGGCGACGACGGGUAGCCGGCCUGAGAGGGUGACCGGCCACACUGGGACUGAGAUACGGCCCAGACUCCUACGGGAGGCAGCAGUGGGGAAUAUUGCACAAUGGGCGCAAGCCUGAUGCAGCGACGCCGCGUGAGGGAUGACGGCCUUCGGGUUGUAAACCUCUUUCAAUAGGGACGAAGCGCAAGUGACGGUACCUAUAGAAGAAGCACCGGCCAACUACGUG